ACUGAAUAUUGCCUUGUGUCACGCUUUAUGAUUUUAUUUACUCUUAACCAGGAAUCACCAUCCAGGAACUUGUGCAUUUGUAUAUAUAUAUUAUCUGUGCUAUUAAUUAUAUUGACAGAUCCACAAAAGCUGACAAAGAGGUGCUUUGAUUUUAUUUUAGCGCCUUUUUCCAUUCUAGACAAAGGGAAUGACUGAAGGAGUUAUAUGAGGAUUGUGGGUGGCAGUGGGGAGUGCAGGAAUAAACAAGCUUGUCCUUGACUUUGCAUUAGCUGUCAGAGUUCCAACAGGAUUCAUCACUAUCAGCACACAGGGCAGAGCUGGUAAGCUCCCCUGCACACCCAUGUGUCACUUCCUCACGAGAGCAGGAAUGAUUAAAAGGCCUUACAGACUGACUGGAAAAUACCAAGUCAAAUUAGGAGCAUAACACUGUUGUGAUGUCCCCAAGAAAUUCAUCUGAAGGCAUAGCUUCAUGGCACUCAUUUUCAUCCACAGUGUAGGCUGCAGUGUGGCAUACUGAUUUUGUUUAAGCUUUUACUUCCUUAAGUUAAAUUACUUUAACUAUGGCCCAUUUGCAUUAUUAAGCUGUAGCUGUCCAGUGACCAACCAGUGCCAUUUAAAGAAAUGACUGGCAUCAGUUUGAGUAAGAAUACAAAAGAAUAGUAUAUUAAACAAACUGGGUAUAUUGUAGACAAUUGUAGACGGAUAGUGUUUCCUAAGCUUGCUAUGGAAAAACAAGAUAGGUCACAUUUUCUAGAUGUAGCUACCUUCAGCUGUACGUGUAUUCUCUGUUAUAAGUUGAGCUGAUUAUGGUUUGAUUAUGACCUGAUUAUGACCCUUUGAAAGUUGCAUUGCUCUGAACAAAUCCACUAUUUCUAUUGAUAUAGGCUCGAUCCACCCACCCACCCACCCACCCAUCCAUCCAUCCAUCUAUCCAUCCAUCCAUCCAUCCAUAUUCAUCCAUUAACCCAUUUUCUUUGAUUUUCACGGGUGUGCUGGGCCCAAUCUCAGCUGCCAUAGGCUGAGAGACAGUAAGCACCCCGGACACAUCACCAAUCUGUUGCAGAGCUAACACAGACAGAGAAGCAGACAACCACUGACUUUCACAUCAACACCUGAGAACCACCAGUUAACCUAACCCCAUGCAUUGGAGUGUGGGAGGAAGCAAGAGUACAUGAGAGAACCCACGCAGUUUCAGGGAGGACAUGCAAAAUCCAAACAGCAAGAAUCCAGGACUUUCUUGCUGUCAGCUGGAUUGCGGGUCCCGUGGCACAACCAAGCACUCUUUUCCAGAGACAUGGAUCCAUGCUAAGCUGACAUAACACCGAUCCAUCAUUUGUGGCUAAGGAGACUACGUUGGAAAGCUGACAGCUCAUUAUGUUUAAAUACCCACAUGAUUUGUUGUAUCCUCAGACUGGAUCUGCUGUAAUAUCACAACUGUUAUGUAGAUUUGUGAACUCAAAAAUUGUGUACAUUUAAUGUUAGUAGCACUGUAUUUUUUGAUUUCACUGUGACUUAGAAAUAUAAGCCAUUUUUGCACCCUGCCUCUUUUGGAGCUAUCUGGUGAUAACAAGCCAGGUGGUCUCUUCCUCUUUCAUAAAUAAUGCUUUCAAGAAUUUCAAGUUUUUAAGUACAAGUGGGUGCCUUCUCUGUGUGCUGACCAUUAAAAUCCUUCCCUGUAUGGCUCUGGGAUAUUUUCCUCUUGUGUGUAAUCCCAGUACAGAACUGGAACAUAAGAGAUUAGUGCAUGCACCUUGAUGUGGCCUGGUACACUAGUCAAACUUAUUAGGCUAACUGACACUCAAAAAGAAGUUUUGGGGCUUUUCAAUGACCUCUUUGAUAUUGAAGGGGAUUUUCGGGUUAUAUUAGCUAGCUUGACUAGAAGAUUCUUUCAGAGGUCUUUCAUUCUUCUUUCUUGUAUCUGGAGUCUGUUUGGACAAAUGUUCAAUUCAUAAAGGAAUAAUGGAAAUUAUUAAUGGAAUGUGCACUUUAUUGAAAAGGAUGUUGUUCUUUACAGACGGGAC
ensembl:lncRNA